UCUCUAUGGUAACUGAGAUUAGGCAAGAGCACGGAAAAUGGAAUGCAGACAUUGCUAAAUAGCAUCAUUUCCAUGAAGAAUGUAAACACUGUCAUUCUUGAAACAAGACGUCCAAUUACACGAGGAUCAAUGAUUUAGUUAUUCCAGACCCUAGCUACUACAAUCCAGGAUAUCAAUCUCCCAGCAGAGCAACAAAAACUGGGUGGGAGGAGCGACGCGUAUGGCCAGCUGGAGGAAGGAACCUGCAGUCAUCUUCCACUUAUAAAAAAGUGGCUAUCUUCAGUUAAGCAAUGUUCCAUGUAACUGAAUAAUCCUUCAUGGAGAUAUAUGAAGAGUCAGCAGUGUCACCCUGUAAAACGAAGGACUGUGAUAUAUUUUAUUAGUGUGCAGUUGUAGGGUCAAGAAUACUAGGGAAUAACAGGGAAGAGCCUGUCUUCUUCAUUCUCAGUCCUAGCAGUGCUGGCACACACUUAGAAGCUACCAGGAGCUAUUUUAAGGAUGAGGAAACUCAAGUACUGGCAGUUCCUAACCCCAGUGCCGGGUUAACCCAGGGGACCAACUGACGCCCAGUACAACUGUUUCUCACUGCAGAAACUGCCAAGCCAUCAUAAUUUUAGCUCGUAUUAUGACGCAGAGAGGAAAACAAAAGGAUGAUUUAUUUGAAGAUUAAAAUUGUGCCUAUUUUAUGGACUCUGUAAGCUGUCGGAAACUCAAUUAUCGAGCCCUUUGAACUCAGCGUUGCCUCCAGAGUAUUUAAGGCAACCAGACAGACAAACAGCCACCACCACCACCAAAACAGAGGAGUUACAAGCCUGCUUGAAUCACAGGACGGACAAUGGCAGCGCAUGUGAGGGACCCAGUGUUGUAGCACAAGACCUCAGAGCUCCUCUGCGCACCCACAGGGAUUUUGCCGCAGCAUGGGUGAUUAAGGACUUCGCAUUUGCGGCUGUGCGCCCGCCAGAAAGUCUAAAUCAAAGUUUCCUCGUGUCAGGUGUGCAUCGGCACCCAUUUCCACCCUUUCAAUAAAGCCGAGAAUUGCUUCCACUGCCCUUGUUUUUUUCCUGAAGAGAAUUCAAGAUACCAUUUACAGCUCUCAGUCUGUGUUCUGGAAAAGAGGGUAGAAGGCCUUAGCACCAGCGUGCCAGCCUUCUGGAAAUGGAACAUAAUUUGCUCAUGCCAAAAAGAUUUUGGUGAGGCUUUGGCAGCUAGCCUAUGUGUCUGUGUCAAGGAUUACACUGCUUAUCACUGAGUCCCGAUACCUAGCCUGACGUGCAGUACGUACUCAAAAGUUGAUGAAUGGACUGCUGGUUUCUAAACUAGGAUACCACUGGCUCUCCUAUGACAACAAGACCCUGGGACUUCUCAGCCUCCACAACUAUGAGAGCCAAUUCCUUAUAGUCCACAUGCCAUUGUCCUACUACAGCUGCCUUUUAAAUGAAGCCCAUAGGAGAUUCGAACACCACAGAACCCAAAUCUCAGGAUUUAGCCUUCCCCUCAAGAAAGGAAUCCAAUGUUAGUUGUGGAAAACAAAUGCCAAUAUGGUAUCAGUAGUUCAAGAUCCUUCAAAUGCACAGUCAAACCACAAGUACCACAGAACCUGGUCCUCACUGGAUGGAAGUACAAAUGGAUACUAAAUGGAUACUAUGCAAUAAAGACAUUAUUAGUAUGAACAAAGUGCUUAGUAAUGAAGAAGAGAGAAUGAUUGGUUCUGCCUGACAAAUGAGGCUCUAAUUAUAAAGGCAUUUGAAGAUGGUGGCAUUUACUGUCUUCAUCUGCUUUAUCCUCCAGUCUGGAUACUGGUGUCUACUGCCCGAAGUUACUCAACCCUCAUCAUUGUGGUUACAUUUUUACACCAUCCAAGUAUUUGUAGCCAAGGAAGACAUUGAAAAGUGUUCCUGAGAUUGAGGGAAGUAUUUACAACUCAAAAGGGAAGACACUAAGAAUAAAUCAUAAUCUUGAUAAUGAUGUUAAAAGUUUACAUUUUUAACCCUGAAGAGCAGGAAUCCACAAUCUAUGGCCCACCAACUAUGUCUGUAAUAAUAAAGUUUUAUUGGUAUA